rnacentral:rRNA from 1 species
CGGAGGGUGCAAGCGUUAUCCGGAUUCACUGGGUUUAAAGGGUGCGUAGGCGGGCAGGUAAGUCCGUGGUGAAAUCUCCGAGCUUAACUCGGAAACUGCCAUGGAUACUAUUUGUCUUGAAUAUUGUGGAGGUGAGCGGAAUAUGUCAUGUAGCGGUGAAAUGCUUAGAUAUGACAUAGAACACCAAUUGCGAAGGCAGCUCGCUACACAAUUAUUGACGCUGAGGCACGAAAGCGUGGGGAUCAAACAGGAUUAGAUACCCUGGUAGUCCACGCCCUAAACGAUAAUUACUCGACAUCAGCGAUACACUGUUGGUGUCUGAGCGAAAGCAUUAAGUAAUCCACCUGGGAAGUACGAUCGCAAGAUUG